rnacentral:rRNA from 1 species
AUGAUGAAGUUCACAAAGGCCGACAAGGCGUCCGGUUUGGAUCCUUCUAGUCUGGCGGAGGCCCCGGAGCUGGUCCGUUCGGUUGCCCGGGCCAUGGAGGGACUUGCCGAGGAGAUCCAGUCGCUUGACCAGGGCCAUUGGAAAUGGGUGCCAAGGUGGAUCAAGGUCGUCGCCACCGAGCUGGAGUUGCUCAAGACCAAUAUGCUCCAGAUCUGGUUCAUCUCUGCCGUAGCCGAUCCACGACAUGGGGCACCGGCACAGCAGGCAAGAGACGCCACCUACUCCAUCGAAGUGAUUCAAGACAAGAUUGAGUGUUGCAGGCUUCAAUCUAGCCUUGUUCCACGUAACAAGAUUCUCAAUCAUCUGUUCAAGCUGCUUCUUGCUCUGAGAUGUCGAUGGAACCGCUCCAAUCCAAACAGGAUCAUCAGGGAGAUCAAAGCUAUGAAUGAGAAAGCUCAUAGGCUUGUCCCUCUCCUAGACAAGGGCCAAGGCCAAUUUUCCAAUCCACCGCCAUCGUCGCUUGGUUCCGUCAGCAACACUCGUCGGACAGUGGUGUAUGGGCGCGACAGGGAGAGGGAUGAGGUCGUGCGGAUGCUCAUCCGAUCAUGCGGUGAGGCUGCACCGGAGAUGAUGGUCUCUCUUGUUGGUGAUGGAGGAAUUGGGAAGACAACACUCGCUCAGAUGGUAUUCAACGAUGAAAGCGUCAGGCAGCAUUUUGAUGUCAGGUGUUGGGUGUCAGUUUCCAGUGUCUCCAACCAAAUGGAGCUCGCAACAGAGAUUUUAAGAUCGGCCCAACCAUCUUGGGUUGGAUCUGAUGAGAAUAAGAUGGUGGGUUUUCAAGUGCUUCGGUCCGAGCUUCGUCAAUUUGUGGCAUCCAAGAGAUGCCUGAUUGUUCUAGAUGAUGUAUGCAACAGUAAGGAUGAAACCUUACUGGACAUCGUCACUCCUCUUCUUUCAGCAGAUAGCAGAAGCAGAAUUUUGGUGACUUCUCGCAUGAUACCUCACAUAUUGGGUUCCUCACAGCUAUACACUGUAAAUCCACUGGAUACCGAUGAUUGUUGGUCCCUGCUCAAGGAACAUGCUUUUCCCAUUGAUGACGAGAAUGUCCAUCCAGAUCUGAAGUUGAUUGGAAAGGAAAUUGCUACAAAAACCAAUGGAUCACCUUUGGCUGCCAAGCUGGUGGGAGGGUUGCUAGGAGAAACAAGGAGCAAAGCGCACUGGAGAAAUAUCCUUGAAACAGGGUUACAAGAUGGCACUGUUUUCUCUGCCCUACUCUUGAGCUAUAAGAACUUGCCUGGACACCUCAAGCGAUGCUUCGCAUAUUGCAGUUUGUUUCUAGAGGACUAUAAGUUUGAUCCAGCACAUUUGUCCCGCCUUUGGAUUGCGGAGGGUUUUGUACAUCCACAUGGCAGGGCUGAGAAAAGGAUGGAAGACAUAGCUAGAGAAUAUUUUGAUCAGCUCCUUUCAUGCUCAUUUUUUCAGGAGAUCAACAUUGACACAAGACUUAUUACUUGGUGCAUGGCCUACUCCAUGAACUUGCAAAAGUUUCCCAAUUGCAUUAAUGACUUAUUGCACCUCCGUUACCUCUCUAUCCAUGGCUCCAUCCAGAGGCUUCCUGAGUCCAUUGGCAGGCUUUGCCACCUGCAAACAUUGCGCUUCACCGGGGAAUGUUCCCUUGAGAAGCUUCCUGCUAGCAUUAUUAUGCUAGUCAAUUUGCGGCACCUUAUUGUUGAGACAAAGUAUACUGCAGGAUUGGUGGGCAUUGGUCGGCUAGCAAAUCUUCAGGGAUCACUUGAGCUCCACAUUGAGAGGAGGGAAGGACAUAAACUAGAAGAGUUGAGGAACAUCAAUGGUCUUCGUGGGCUACUAAAAAUAAAAGGUCUAGAAAAUGUUUCAAGCUAUGAAGAAGCAUGCAAAGCUGAGUUGAAUAAGAAAACACAUCUUAAUUCUCUAAAUUUAGAAUGGAGCUUUGCUAGUAGGAAUAACCCACCUUCUGCUGAUGCGGAGGUACUUGAAGGCUUAAAGCCGCACCAAGACAUAAAGGUACUUCAUAUACGAAGGAGUUUGGGAAUCCUUCCUCCAUUGGGAAAUUUGGGAUCACUCAGAUAUUUACACAUGAAGGAGCUGUGUGCAGUUGACCGAAUUGGACAUGAGUUUUAUGGCAACGUUGAUGUGGCAUUUCCAUCUCUAAGUGUCCUUGAAUUGGAUGACUUCCCAAAGUUGCGUCAGUGGGCUGGCACAGAGGACAAGGUCUCAUUUCCAUGCCUUGAAAGAUUGAUUAUAGUGGAUUGUCCAGAACUGGUCGGAAUUCCUCCCUUCUCCGCAACUACUCGUGAAGUUACCAUUGAGCGUACAUGCUUCAUGCCAUACAUGAGGCUUGCGCCUUUUUCUUCAGGUUCAGAGAAGCUCCAGCUGGAUGUUUGCACAACUUCUGGCCACUUCAACGGGUUACUCCAUAAGCAACAUCUAAAGGUUGUUGUAGCCUUAAACAUAACUGGUGCUGAACAAGUCGUUGCUACCGAAGAAAUAGGGUCCCUUGUUUCUCUACAGAGGCUUCAGCUUCGUCGAUGCAAUUUCACUGACUAUAACUUUAGCAGGUUUCUCCAGGCUCUGCCUUGUCUUUCCUCGUUGGAGAUAAUUGACCUGCCUAACUUAACAUCUCUUCCAGCAUUGGAAAUAGUUGGGGUUAGCACAAUGCUCACGGAUUUGUCUGUACGCAACUGCCAGUUCUUGCAGUCUCUAUCCUCAUUGCAGUUUUUUGAUUCACUAAAAUAUUUGGUCAUCGAGAGAUGUCCUAAAGUGACUGCAACAUCAUUUCCAUUGAACUUUAGGAGCCUUUCAUCGCUCAAAGUGCUGAGAAUAUCACACUGCUCAGAGCUCCAAUCUUUACCGACGUGUGGUCUGCCAUCCUCAUUGGAAACACUCCAUAUUACUAGGUGCCACCCGGAGUUGUCCAAGCAAUCAAGAAACAUGAAAGGGCAUUAA